AUAAAUUAAAAAAAAGCACAGACAAUUUAAAUUUAAUAUACGAUUCGAUUCUUAAUAUCAUAUACGCUUCUUCUGAAAUAAUAUAUCUCUCUAGGUCACCGCUACUGUUUUGAUACCAACACAGAGAAUUUAGUUCGUAUUGAAUUCUCGAUCGACACAUAUCGUUUCUCGACUACCACACGACUUAAUUUCAACGUACCUGUGUAAUAAAGUAAAGUUCUGUGGUGUGUUUAAGUUGACUAAUUUUCUCUAGACACUUGACCAAAAUUGUCGGUCGAAUGGGUCAACAAUAAACAUGAGAAUUGUAACCAGUCUGGUCGCCUACUUUCGGUGUCCUUGAUAAUAUAUGAGCAUCUUUCUCAUUAACGGAUUCUUCUUACUGUGCUUCGUCGUGGUCACAGUACCG